CGGGGUGUGGCGCAGCUGGCUAGCGUACCAGUAUGGGGUGCUGGUGGUCGCGGGUUCGAAUCCCGCCACCCCGA
rnacentral:tRNA from 1 species